rfam:Myotis lucifugus cont2.22124, whole genome shotgun sequence.
GAGACACCCUUCUGGGGCAAGACUUGCUUCAGUGGGGCUUUGGUGCUCACUGAGUCUGCCCCCUUAGUGUGUCCCU